rnacentral:sRNA from 1 species
AAAAGGUACCCGCGAGAGACAGCCAGCAGUUCUGUGGAGCAGCGGUGGCCGGCUAGGAUGGGCUCUCUCUGGGGUCUGGCUCUGCCCCUUUUCUUCUUCUGCUGGGAGGUUGGGGUCUCUGGGAGCUCUGCAGAUUUGAAGAUUGUACCAGGAGAGCCGCAGUGUUCCAGAGCUACCGAGGGGCUGGGCCGGGAUUUGCUGUAUUUGAGAAGACCCCCCUGGACCCGAGAGGCUGUGGGCUUGGGGAGCAUGAGGAGGUUUCACAGCAGAAAGGACACCCCGGGGCUCCUGGAUCGGAAAAUGUGCCAGGGGAAAUCGGGCUCCAAGGGCACCACUCUGGGCUUCCAGCUGUGUAGGCUGGACCAAGAAGGCUCAGAGAAAUGAUCUCAGGCUUGAAGUGGGGAGAACAAACUGUAUUAUGAAGGCAGACGAACAGUUCCUGCAAAAGCCCCAGCACCCGCAGAGCAGACACUGCGAUGACAACGGACGACACAGAAGUGCCCGCUAUGACUCCAGCACCGGGCCACGCCGCUCUGGAAACUCAAACGCUGAGCGCUGAGACCUCUUCUAGGGCCUCAACCCCAG